CGCAGGUUACGUUUAAAUAAAACAGAUACAGAGUUUAAUGAGAAUGGAGAAAUGCAUGAAUGAGAGCUUUGACGUGGAUGAGUGUUGCUCUGAGCUGCACCAUGGCAAAAUGGACGAACGCACUGCCAAGAGUUCUCUAAACUCCUUACUUAAAGAGCUGUUAGAUGAAAAGAUUUCUACUCAGAGGAAAAAUCAUUGGAUACUUGGCCCUGAGGACCUCAAUGAUACUCUUGUUUAUGAUUUUGAGAUGGAAGAAGCGGCCUGAGCUUUUUGUUAAUGCCUACAUGGUGUUGCUUUCACCUGUGAAUAAAUGUUGCAGGUGAAAGUGCAGUUUUUAAAAAUCUCUUCAGAUAAUAGUAACUUGUAAAUAAAGUGUAUAUUUAUUUAAA
ensembl:lncRNA